rnacentral:rRNA from 1 species
UACGGAGGGUGCGAGCGUUGUCCGGAAUCACUGGGCGUAAAGGGCGCGUAGGCGGCUGGGGAAGUCGGCGGUGAAAGCCCGGAGCUCAACUCCGGGUCGGCCGUCGAGACUCCUCGGCUCGAGCUCACUAGAAGCAGAUGGAAUUCCGGGUGUAGCGGUGGAAUGCGUAGAGAUCCGGAAGAACACCGGUGGCGAAGGCGGUCUGCUGGGGUGAGGCUGACGCUGAUGCGCGACAGCGUGGGGAGCAAACAGG